rnacentral:rRNA from 1 species
GAGGGGCCCGCACAAGCGGAGGAGCAUGUGGUUUAAUUCGAUGAUACGCGAGGAACCUUACCUGGGCUCGAACGUAAGAUGACUGUAGGUGAAAGCUUACAUCUCUUCGGAGCAUUUUACGAGGUGCUGCAUGGUUGUCGUCAGCUCGUGCCGUGAGGUGUCGGGUUAGGUCCCAUAACGAGCGCAACCCCUACCUUUAGUUGCCAUCAGGUUAAGCUGGGGACUCUAAAGGAACUGCCUACGCAAGUAGUGAGGAAGGCGGGGAUGACGUCAAAUCAGCACGGCCCUUACGUCCAGGGCUACACACGUGUUACAAUGGCCAGUACAGAGGGCAGCCACCCCGCGAGGGGGCGCUAAUCCUAAAAGCUGGUCCCAGUUCGGAUCGGAGUCUGCAACCCGACUCCGUGAAGCUGGAUUCGCUAGUAAUCGCGCAUCAGCCACGGCGCGGUGAAUACGUUCCCGGGCCUU